AUUGAACGCUGGCGGCAGGCCUAAUACAUGCAAGUCGAGCGAGCGGCGGACGGGUGAGACAUGUCUGGGAAACUGCUUGAUGGCGGGGGUUAACUACUGGAAACGGUAGCUAAUACCGCAUACCAUCAGCUGAUCCAUGAUGGGAUGAGCGAGUAGGUGGGGUAAUGGCUCACCUCGGCGACGGUCCCUAGCUGGUCUGAGAGGAUGAACAGCUAAAUGUGAACUUAGACACGGUCCAGACUCCUACGGGAGGAAGCAGUGGGGAAUAUUGCACAAUGGGCGAAAGCCUGAUGCAGCCAUGCCGCGUGUAUGAAGAAGGCCUUCGGGUUGUAAAGUACUUUCAGCUGGGAGGCGUUACCCCCAGAAUAAGCACCGGCUAACUCCGUGCCAGCCGCCGCGGUAAUAC
rnacentral:rRNA from 1 species